AGUGAGCGCUGGCGGUAGGCCUAACACAUGCAAGUCGAACGGCAGCACAGUAAGAGCUUGCUCUUACGGGUGGCGAGUGGCGGACGGGUGAGGAAUACAUCGGAAUCUACUUUUUCGUGGGGGAUAACGUAGGGAAACUUACGCUAAUACCGCAUACGACCUACGGGUGAAAGCAGGGGAUCUUCGGACCUUGCGCGAUUGAAUGAGCCGAUGUCGGAUUAGCUAGUUGGCGGGGUAAAGGCCCACCAAGGCGACGAUCCGUAGCUGGUCUGAGAGGAUGAUCAGCCACACUGGAAUUGAGACACGGUCCAGACUCCUACGGGAGGCAGCAGUGGGGAAUAUUGGACAAUGGGCGCAAGCCUGAUCCAGCCAUACCGCGUGGGUGAAGAAGGCCUUCGGGUUGUAAAGCCCUUUUGUUGGGAAAGAAAAGCAGCAGGUUAAUACCCCGCUGUUCUGACGGUACCCAAAGAAUAAGCACCGGCUAACUUCGUG
rnacentral:rRNA from 1 species